GACAGAGGGUGCUAGCGUUGUUCGGAAUUACUGGGCGUAAAGGCGCGUAGGCGGCUUGUUUAGUCGGGUGUGAAAUCCCGGGGCUCAACCCCGGAACUGCAUUCGAUACUGGCAGGCUAGAGACCGGAAGAGGAGUGUGGAAUUCCUGGUGUAGCGGUGAAAUGCGCAGAUAUCAGGAGGAACACCAAUUGCGAAGGCAGCUCGCUGGAACGUAACUGACGCUGAGACGCGAAAGCGUGGGGAGCAAACGGG
rnacentral:rRNA from 1 species